UGUCAAGUCCUCAUGGCCCUUAUGUCCAGGGCCACACACGUGCUACAAUGGGCGGUACAGACCGGAGCCAAGCCGCGAGGCGGAGCGAAUCGGAGAAAGCCGCCCUCAGUUCGGAUUGCGGCCUGCAACUCGGCCGCAUGAAGCUGGAAUCGCUAGUAAUCGCGCAUCAGAACGGCGCGGUGAAUACGUUCCCGGGCCUU
rnacentral:rRNA from 1 species